rnacentral:lncRNA from 1 species
GAUUGGCACAGUCAUUUUCAAAUGUAGAAAAUGGUGAAUUAAACCUGGUUUUAAUUCCUCUCACUUGUAUGACACUCGCAUCAAAUUCAAUUACAUUGACAACAUUGUGUGAACAAAACAAACAGACACAAUAGGUAAAAAUGUCACAAAUAUGGGUACAAAAUCACGAACCCCACCAAAAACUGGACGUGAUAUCGGGUGCCCCGGAGGG